rnacentral:rRNA from 1 species
UACGUAGGGGGCAAGCGUUGUCCGGAAUCAUUGGGCGUAAAGAGCGCGUAGGCGGCCCAGCAAGUCGGGUGUGAAAGCCCGGGGCUCAACCCCGGAAUGGCUUUCGAAACUGCUGAGCUAGAGUACAGAAGGGGCAACCGGAAUUCCCAGUGUAGCGGUGAAAUGCGUAGAUAUUGGGAAGAACACCUGAGGCGAAGGCGGGUUGCUGGGCUGAUACUGACGCUGAUGCGCGAAAGCCAGGGGAGCAAACGGG